UAUUUGGAUUUUUAAAACUUGGAAUUCCUGAAAAUGCUAAGAAAAAACUUUUAGUAUUAAAGGCUGUGAAAUGUAUAGAAAAGACUCUUGUUCAGCAUCAGCAGUUGAAAGAAAAGAAAUUACUGUUAACACAAAAACAGUCAGGUGACAAAAAUGGAGAUUCUCAGUCAGCAAUAUCUGAUCAAAAUAGAGAUAAAGGAAAUGAAACUAUUGAAAUAAAGGAAUUUUCUCCUAAAAUAUAUUGUCAGCUUGGUCAUUAUAAUUUACUUUUAGAAGAAUAUGCAAAAGCUUUGUCUGCAUACCAGAAAUAUCGUGCAUUAGUAGAAGACCAUUGGAAGGAUGCACCAUUCCUGUAUGGAUUAGGACUGACAUACUUCCAUUUCAAUGCAUAUCAAUGG